rnacentral:rRNA from 1 species
AUGGCCGAGGCUGUACUUAUUGCUGUGACGAAGAUUGGUUCCAUUUUAGGAGAUGAAGUCAUCAAGGCCAUCAUAUCCGAGCUCUCUGUAAAAGUUACUAAUCUGAAAGAACUGCCGGUAAAGAUUGAGCAAAUAAGGCAGCAACUGAAUAUGAUGAGUAAUGUAAUAAUGCAGAUAGACACUGUAUACCUGAUGGACAAAGGGGUCAAGGAUUGGAUUGGGGAAGUCCGCAACGUGGCCUACCAUGUUGAAGAUGUAAUGGAUAAAUACUCAUACCAUGUACUUAAACAUAAGGAACAAAGUCGCCUGAAGAAAUUGUUGAAAGGAAAAGAUUAUGCAGUUUUCAGUCAAAUUGCGGAUGAGGUAGUUGCUGUAGAGGAGGAGAUUGAGCAAGUUGUAAAGUUGAAAGAACGUUGGUUGCAGCCCUUCCAGCUUGUCGCUGACCCACUUACUGAGAUUGAAAGACGGCGGUCCCAGGACAGCUUCCCUGAAUUUGUGAAAGAUCAAGAUCUAGUAGGAAUUGAAGAAAACAGGAUGUUGCUGACCGGAUGGCUGCACUCUGAAGAGACGGAGAACAAUGUGAUAACAGUAUCAGGCAUGGGCGGGUUGGGAAAAUCUACCUUGGUUUCAAAUGUUUAUGAACGUGAAAAGAUCAAGUUCACUGCACAUGCAUGGAUCGUUGUGUCACAAAUUUACACUGUUGAUGCUCUGUUGAGGAAGAUACUAUGGAAGAUUGGAUACACCGAAAUACCAUUGUCAGCAGGCAUGGACAAAAUGGACAUAUAUGACUUGAAAAAGGAAAUAGAGAAGAUGCUUGAAAAUAGAACAUAUCUGAUUGUACUUGAUGAUGUCUGGGAGCAGGAGGUAUACUUCAAAAUAUGUGAUGCUUUCCAGAAUCUCCAAGGAAGCCGCAUAAUCAUUACGACACGGAAGGACCAUGUUGCAGGAAUUUCUUCUCCCACCCGUCACCUCGAGCUCCUGCCAUUGAGCAAUCCUGAUGCAUUUAAGCUCUUCUGUAGAAGGGCUUUUCACAACAGGAAGGACCACACAUGCCCCAAGGAUCUUGAGACAAUUGCUGCUUCUAUUGUUGAAAAGUGCCAUGGCCUGCCUCUAGCAAUUGUUACCAUUGGGAGCAUGUUGUCUUCAAGACAAAAUUUAGAUGUUUAUAAGCAGAAGUACAAUCAGCUUGGACACGAGUUGUCAAACAAUGAUCAUGUCCGAGCAAUUUUAAAUCUGAGCUACCAUGACCUUUCAGACGAGCUCCGAAACUGCUUCUUGUACUGCAGUCUCUUCCCUGAAGACUACCCCAUGUCAAGUGACAGCCUUGUGAGGCUGUGGGUUGCGGAAGGCUUUGUGCAGAGUAAGGGAAAGAACACGCCAGAGAUGGUAGCUGAGGGAAAUCUCAUGGAGCUGGUCCAUCGCAAUAUGCUUGAGGUGGUGGAGUAUGAUGAGCUUGGUAGGGUCAGCAUCUGUAAGAUGCAUGAUAUUAUGCGUGAACUAGCUAGUUCUGUUGCUAAAGAAGAGAGAUUUGCUUCAACAGAUGAUUACAACACAGUGAUGGAUAUUCGUCGUCUGUCAUCAUGUGAAUGGAAAGAGGACACUGCCCUGAAAGCUAAACUUUCACAUCUUCGAACAGUAGUGUCAGUAAUUCCAUCCUCGCCUGACAUGCUAUCAUCAAUUUUAUCUGCAUCGAACUACCUUACUGUCCUUGAGCUGCAAGACUCUGAAAUAACUGAAGUGCCAAAAUCGAUUGGGUCUCAGUUCAAUCUGCGUUAUAUUGGGUUACGGCGCACCAAGGUCAAGGCACUUCCGGACACUAUUGAGCAUUUGUCUCGCCUCCACACCCUCGACAUCAAGCAAACCAAAAUAGAGAAGCUACCACGAGGGCUUUUCAAGAUCAAGAAGCUGCAACAUCUUUUCGCCGAUAGAUUUGUUGAUGAGAAGCAGGUAGAGUUUCGGUACUUUAAUGGAAUGCAAGCACCUAAAGAGCUGUCCAACUUGGAAGAACUGCAAACUCUUGAGACCGUGGAAUCCAGUAAUGACUUGGCCGAGCAGCUGAAGAAACUGAUGCAACUAAGAAGUUUGUGGAUUGAUAACAUUAGUGCCGCUGAGUGUGCAAAUCUGUUUGCUACCCUUUCAAAUAUGCCACAUCUUUCAAGCUUGCUUCUUUGUGCAAGGGAUGAGAAUGAGGAACUUUGCUUUGAGGCUCUCCAACCAAGGUCUACAGAUCUACACAAGUUGAUUAUCAGAGGGAAAUGGGCCAAGGGGACACUAAAUUGCCCGAUAUUUCUGAAGCAUGGGACACAUCUCAAGUAUCUAGCUCUAAGCGGGUGUCACCUUGUGGAAGAUCCACUGGAGAUGCUCGCCCGGCACAUGCCAAAGCUCACGUAUCUGAGACUUAACAACAUGCAUGGUGCAAGCACUCUGGCUCUUUCUGCAAAUUCCUUUCCAAACCUGAAGACACUUGUCUUAAAGUGCAUGCAUGAUGUCAGUGAGCUAAACAUCAGUGAGGGCGCUCUUCCAUGCGUUGAAGGUCUGUAUAUUAUCUCGCUGCCGAAGCUUGACAAGGUCCCUCAAGGCAUUGAAUCCCUUCGCGCCCUUAAGAAGCUCACACUGCAGUGCUUGCACAAGGAUUUCAUAAGUCAAUGGGACACCAACGGAAUGCAUCAGAAGACCCUGCAUGUUCCAGAGGUUUAUGUCUAG